rnacentral:lncRNA from 1 species
CUGCUAUCCUGUCCUGAGGCUCUGGGUUGCUAAAGACCACAUUUCAGAGUAGCCUAUUUUAGCUAUCAGAAGUUUAUUUUCUGUAAAUGGGUCAGUUCUGCAGUCCCAUGAUUUCCUGCUGUUCCUCAUGCAUCAGAGGACGCCACCUGACCACCCAGUGAGACCUCAGAGGUGCAGAACUCUGACUCGGACUGGAAACUGGGACUUCCAGCAAGAGUGACUGAUUCACUCUUUGAGCAAACACUUCAGUGAGACUGGGGAGUCAAACUUCCAGCUGCUACAGUAAUGGAUGCAGUAUCCGAAGGCACUGUUGAUGAGAGAACGCAUCAGCUCCAAGCUAUAGAGUAUUUUCUACACAGUUGCUUUCUGUUCACAGGUUUGCUCUUGCAAGAUGGGAGAUGCAUCUAAAUUUAAUUUGCCUGUGACAAAACCAAAAAUUUCCACCUGUGCAAGCAACAUUCACCAAGUUCUCCAGGUCUGCUGCAGAUCAGUUCUUCAAGAUAGAAGAUAAUUUGAAGAAAGAACCACAUCCAAGCCUUUGCUGGCAGGGAAAAAAAAAAAAACAGAGCAACAUAGAGAUAGAUAAAAAGGCAGCAGUGUAUCCAAAAUAGGAGAUGGCAUACUGUUGAAGACAUCUACAGAGAUUGUAAGUUUUCAGGACAGCUUUUCACAAUUCCCAGUUAAGAAGUCAGAGGACAUAAAAAUUGGGGGAACUGGCAAAUAAAGAAGAAGUUAAAACAGAGAGGUCUUGG